AACGAACGCUGGCGGCAGGCUUAACACAUGCAAGUCGAACGCCCCGCAAGGGGAGUGGCAGACGGGUGAGUAACACGUGGGAACGUGCCCUAAGGUUUGGAAUAUUCCCGGGAAACUGGGAGCAAUACCAAAUGUGUCCGUAAGGAGAAAGAUUUAUCGCCUUAGGAUCGGCCCGCGUCAGAUUAGGUAGUUGGUGGGGUAAUGGCCUACCAAGCCGACGAUCUGUAGCUGGUCUGAGAGGACGACCAGCCACACUGGGACUGAGACACGGCCCAGACUCCUACGGGAGGCAGCAGUGGGGAAUCUUGGACAAUGGGCGCAAGCCUGAUCCAGCCAUGCCGCGUGGAUGAUGAAGGCCCUAGGGUUGUAAAAUCCUUUCGUUGGGGACGAUAAUGACGGUACCCAAAGAAGAAGCUCCGGCUAACUUCGUGCCAGCCGCCGCCGUAAAAC
rnacentral:rRNA from 1 species